UGUUUUGGUUUGGUUUUUUUCCACAACCAGAAAAGGGGGUUUCCAUUUCAUUCACAGAGUUCUGGGAAAUGGAAUUUGUAUAAAACAUUUUUUGGUCAUGAUGGAAAACAUUUAUUUGACUCUAAUGAGAGAAUCUGACCCAAAGGCAAUAGUAAUCAAAAUCUACAAGGACAAGUGCUUGAUUCUCUAAACUUGUUUUUUUUUUGGUUUUGUUUUUUUUCUUCUAGUAACAGCUGUGACUAUGCAGUUUUUGCUUCAAAAAGAACUUGAUUCUAUCUUAAGUUAAAGAUUUUUUUUAAACUGGUGAAAGAGCUACGGUUCCCUGGUUUUCUUUUCUUCUGUUUCUUUUCUUCUCCAAGUCAGAGUUACUUCUGGGCGAUGUCUUCAUGUCCAGAAGGGAAGAGGGGCUCAUCAAGGACACGAUGCUACAGACAAACAGGAGCCAAGCCAAUCUCCUGAAAGAGACUUCCUGCUUUAUUCUGUGAAUUGGCCGUUAUUAAUAUCCACUCCCACCUGCUGUGGGUAGGUCACAGUCAUCUCUGACGACAGCCUUAGAAGCAGCAUGAACACAGAGAAGAUGUCUCACAGGCAGGAUCUGGAGCCCAAGAAAAAUAUUCUCAGCUUGAGAUUUCUAUCGGAAGCUGGAAUAGACCUGG
rnacentral:lncRNA from 1 species